UGUAUUUGCAGCGCUAAAUUAAACAAGUGCGAUCAUAUUAGCACUAAUGCACCGGAUCCCAUCAGAACUCCGUAGUUAAUUGUGCUUGGGCGAGACUAGUACUCAGAUGGGUGACCUCUUGGGAAGUCCUCGUGUCGUACAAAUUUUUUUUCAGACGGGUCGUUCGACGUUACGCGCGACUGGAACUAUGGUCCGCUGGUUUAUACGCAAAUGUGAGUCAAGAAGCAGGGGCACUUUAAUUGAUAUUAGAACGAGAAGGAGAGGUGCAGUGUGAACGCACAAGGAAACAAAUAAUCAGAGGGGGGAGGGAAGGAGAAGGAGUGUAUGUAUUUUCAGCACGAAAUGAAACAGGUACGAUAAUACCAGCACAAAUGCAUCGGAUCUUAUCAGAACUCCGCAGUUAAGUGUGCUUUGGAAAAAGUAGUACAUGGAUGGGUUACUUCCUGGGAAGUUCUCGUGUUGCACCCUUUUUUUUUUCAAAUGGGUUGUUCGACGUUACGCGCGACUGGAACUAUGGUCCGCUGGUUUAUACGCAAAUGUGAGUCAAGAAACAGGAGCAUUUUAAUUGAUAUUAGAACGAGAAGGAGAGGUGAAGUGUGAACGCACCAGGAAACAAAUGACGGGAGGGAGAAGAAUGGAGAAGGAGUGUAUGUAUUUGCAGCGCGAAAUGAAACAAGUGCAAUCAUACCAGCACUAAUGCACCGGAUUCCAUCAGAACUACGCAGUAAAGUGUGCAUGGGUGGGAGUAGUACUCGGAUGGGUGACCUCCUGGGAAGUCCUCGUGUUGCACCCAUUUUUUUUCGGAUGGGUCGUUCGAUGUUACGCGCGAAUGGAAUUAUGAACCGCUGGUUCAUUUGCAAAGGUGAGUCACGGUGCCGGGACAUUUUACUUUAUAUUAGAACGAGAAGGAGAGAUGCAGAGUUCACGCGCAAGGAAACAAAUGACGGGAGGGGGGAUGGAAGGAGAAAACGUGUA
rnacentral:lncRNA from 1 species